rnacentral:rRNA from 1 species
UACGAAGGGGGGCUAGCGUUGUUCGGAAUUACUGGGCGUAAAGCGCACGUAGGCGGAUAUUUAAGUCAGGGGUGAAAUCCCAGAGCUCAACUCUGGAACUGCCUUUGAUACUGGGUAUCUUGAGUAUGGAAGAGGUAAGUGGAAUUGCGAGUGUAGAGGUGAAAUUCGUAGAUAUUCGCAGGAACACCAGUGGCGAAGGCGGCUUACUGGUCCAUAACUGACGCUGAGGUGCGAAAAGCGUGGGGGAGCAAACAGG